rnacentral:rRNA from 1 species
AAAGGGUGCGUAGGCGGGAUCUUAAGUCAGGGGUGAAAUCCCGAGGCUCAACCUCGGAACUGCCUUUGAUACUGGGGUCCUUGAGUCCGGAAGAGGUGAGUGGAACUGCGAGUGUAGAGGUGAAAUUCGUAGAUAUUCGCAAGAACACCGGUGGCGAAGGCGGCUCACUGGUCCGGAACUGACGCUGAGGCACGACAGCGUGGGGAGCAAACAGGAUUAGAUACCCGGGU